CUCUUCCUCCCUCUGCAGAGCCAGCAACAGUGGCACAGAAUGUCCUGUCCUUAUUGAAAUGCCAGCCGCGUCUGAGAAGCACAUCUGUGCUCACCGGCCACGCAGAUAAGGCAAGCCUUGAACCCAGGUCUGUCUGAAGUCAGAGGAGAAACUU